rnacentral:rRNA from 1 species
AACGAACGCUGGCGGCAGGCUUAACACAUGCAAGUCGAACGCCCCGCAAGGGGAGUGGCAGACGGGUGAGUAACGCGUGGGAAUCUACCCAUCCCUACGGAACAACUCCGGGAAACUGGAGCUAAUACCGUAUACGCCCUACGGGGAAAGAUUUAUCGGGGAUGGAUGAGCCCGCGUUGGAUUAGCUAGUUGGUGGGGUAAAGGCCUACCAAGGCGACGAUCCAUAGCUGGUCUGAGAGGAUGAGCAGCCACAUUGGGACUGAGACCCGGCCCAAACUCCUACGGGAGGCAGCAGUGGGGAAUAUUGGACGAUGGGCGCAAGCCUGAUCCAGCCAUGCCGCGUGAGUGAUGAAGGUCUUAGGAUUGUAAAGCUCUUUCACCGGUGAAGAUAAUGACGGUAACCGGAGAAGAAGCCCCGGCUAACUUCGUGCCAGCAGCCGCGGUAAUAC